GAGUUUGAUCAUGGCUCAGAUUGAACGCUGGACGGCAGGCCCUAACACAUGCCAAGUCGGGCGGUAGAGAGAAGCUUGCUUCUCUUGAGAGCGGCGGACGGGUGAGUAAUGCCUAGGAAUCUGCCUGGUAGUGGGGGAUAACGCUCGGAAACGGACGCUAAUACCGCAUACGUCCUACGGGAGAAAGCAGGGGACCUUCGGGCCUUGCGCUAUCAGAUGAGCCUAGGUCGGAUUAGCUAGUUGGUGAGGUAAUAGGCUCACCAAAGGCGACGAUCCGUAACUGGUCUGAGAGGAUGAUCAGUCACACUGGAACUGAGACACGGUCCAGACUCCUACGGGAGGCAGCAGUGGGGAAUAUUGGACAAUGGGCGAAAGCCUGAUCCAGCCAUGCCGCGUGUGU
rnacentral:rRNA from 1 species